CCGUGCUGGCCGAACGUCAGCACAACCGUAGGCGCAUCUUUUCUGACCCAGACGGUCCUGGAGCAAAACGAGCUACAUCCGUCCUGACCUGGGACACAGCUGGGCAGGAGCGAGCUCGUGUCCUAGCUCCGAUGUGCUACCGAGGGUCAGCUGCGACCGUCGUGAUCCGUGACCCGUCGGAUAUCACGAAAGAAGAGACGUUUUCGACACGAACAGUCGGGCCAAACAGCGUGCCUGCAAGGCUAGCCAGGGUCUAAGGGGAAGUUGCAAAAACAUUUCAAAGGGAACUUUACAGGAUUGACAAAAAGGUGAAUGUAGAUUAUAUCCAUGGACAAAUGCUGCACCAUUCAGGGGACAAUUGCUCAGGAAUUUCAAUGCGUUGUCUUACACUAGAUGAGAUAACUGAAGUAUAAAGUGUUUAAUCACUUUCCAAGAGCACAUACCUGGAAAACAAUGUGUCAAAAAUUCACCAGUUACCCUUCCUGUUCCCCUCCCACUCCUGAGUGGCAUGCACUUGUGUGAUGCGUCAAGAUCCAAGCAGCGUGUGUCCACUGGCUUCAACAACAAGAAACUCACUGUCACACAGAAGACCCAAGGUUGGAAUGUCUAGAGCUGUCGCAGCUAUUUCAAAACCAAGAGACACAGGAGAAAAGGACUGAAGUGACAGCAGCCUUGACGUCACUGAUCCUCUAAACCAUCACUAGUAGUUGCUCAUAUUCAGACUGGGAGAGGAAAAAUGAUGCUUUGCUUGUCACAAACAAAUGUAUUCUGAU